ensembl:miRNA MIR1225 microRNA 1225
GUGGGUACGGCCCAGUGGGGGGGAGAGGGACGCACCCUGGGUUCACCCAGGGUGCAGCCGGACUGACGGAGCCCCUGUGCCGCCCCCAG